rnacentral:misc_RNA from 1 species
UGUAGGAGCCGGUUUGCUGGCGAUGGCGUCCUGACAGGCGCUCACGAUGUGGCUGUCACACUGCCAUCGCCAGCAAGCCGGCUCCUACA